UCUUCGCUGGGCAGCUCUGCCUCAGGCUAGGCUGGGAUACAGGCUCUAGGCUGGGCUCUGGCUGUUCCAUGUGUCGCUUGGCGGGGCGAGGCUGAAGGGCCGGCAGCCAUUCAGGGGGACGAUCUUCUCAUAGCAGAAGCACAAGAAGACAGCCCCACUGUGGAAGUGCACCUCAAGCCUUUGGUCUUGUUAUAGCCACUGCCAUCCCAUGGACCAAAGCAAAUUACAUGGCUGAGCCCAGAGUCAAGAGACAGGGAGUGCACUCUGCCCACCUGGAGGCCGUGGCCAGGGUGAGGGGCCAGUGAUCAAUGCCACAUGCCAUUUGCGUCAUCCAGUCUGGUCCCCACCCCUAUUUCUCGGAUGGGUACCCCCGGUGGAUCAGCGUGGGACCAGGCAGGGUGCCCUGACUUCCCAUUCCCUUUUCACAGCCCCGAGCAGGAUCUCAUACCACCUGGCUGAUCCUCCUGGGGUGGGACCAAUUCUGGAAACUGCAGUUGCAGGUGGAAGAACCUGGACUUCGGAAUCACAGAGACCUGGGUUCUCUGCUCCCCAAGGCCAGCAGUGAGUCCUCGAGCAAGUCCCACACUACAAAGGAGGAAACUGAGGCUCAGAGGGGUUUAGCGACACAUAGUGCUGGGAUACCAUGCCUGGGCGAAAUUAAAUUUUGGCAGGAGCACCUCCUUUACGCCUCAGUCUGUGCCUGAAGACUCACCAAGGCCAGAGCCGCACGACUCCAGGGGGCCAUGCGUGUGCCCUGGCCGACCAUCCUCCCCUGACCAAGAUGCAUACUGAAAAGGUCCGGAGGCCGGCUCGGGGCCUUCACACAUGCUGCUCUCUCAACCUGGAACACACUUCGCUUUCUCAAACGCCACCUCCCAUUUAUUUUUCAGCAUACAGUUACAAAAUAAACUCCUGGGAAACCUGC